ACAGGUUUUCCUAUUCUAUUACUUUUCCCCAAAUUCUUAGCGCACUUUUAAUUUCCACUGCAUCUAGGUUUUUUCUUUUCAUUAUUCGGCUAAACUAAGUUCUUGCAUCUGGUGUGUUCGAUUCUUCGAUCUCCAUCGCUGUGUUCUACCCAAAAUCUGAUUUGAUGCGAGUUGAGGCAGAUUCGAAGCGCCGCGGGCUAGAGUUUGGACCAGAUUGAGAUUCAGGCGCUUCGGGUCCCGCUAGUGAGUGUUAACUUCUUCCAGCUCAGGCGGAUUCGGAGAUUCACUAGGUAGCUACUCGGCGUCCGCAGCCCAGUGCUUCUCCCCCUAUCUUAUUUACUCUGUUUUAGUUCUGUAAUAGACUAUGUAGAUUUUUCCUGUCUUUUUUCGGAUAGUAGAUGCUCAUGACUGGUGACACCCCGAUCGGGCUAUGUCUAUUCCGCAAUUGUACCUUUCACCUUAU